rnacentral:lncRNA from 1 species
AAAUAACUGGGUCUUUAAAUCUUCAGUUUGCUUUUUGCCCCCCAAUUUUUCAUUAGCCACAAGUGCUCAGCUAUUUUUGCAUAACUGGAAGAGCCAAGGAGCUGGGCUGAGGGCCGCAGAGCAUCUGUACCACAACGUGUGGGGCCGCUUGCAUAAAUCAGCAUGUCAUUAGCACCCCAAACAGCCCCGGCACCGGCAGGUUUCCUGGUCGCCCUGCAGCCCGGCCAUGGCGGCCAUGCUGCAGGAAGGCAGGGGCUGGAGCCACGCGCCAGCCUCCCUGCGCUCCGAUCCUCCUCACUUGUGGUUUUGAAUCUGCCUGUGUAAAUGUGCUGGUGCUCACCCAGGCAUGAAGAAGCUGUGAAUUGUGGAGCCAUGGAUGCUGGAUCUGCUGCCUGUUCGCUCCAGGAGGCUGCCCGCUGGAGAAUGUUUGCCACGUUCUACAGGCUUGCAGUGCUUCUUCUUCAUCUCAUUGAAACUGGGAAACUUGCAUGUUGAUACUUCGCUCUGACUUCAUUAACAGUCAAAACGUUGCAAGACUUCUAGGUGCACUCAAGCUGAUCUGCAAAGUUCUUCCAUCCUCCCAGCUCCUUCAGGAUGACCUUCAAGCCUUGCUGCUUUGACGUUUCUUUAUUUAUCUAAGAAAAUAAUUUGUACCGUGAACAGUUUUGCCAAAACUUUGGUAAGUGAAUGUGACCUACAUGGUUCUGUUUGUAUCUGUGCUUAAAGGACAUGUAAACACUAGGUAUGAGCUGGACCAUAGACCUAAUGUGACUUGUAAGAAUGUUGAAAAUAAGGUUCUUGUGUGUAUGCAGCUGAGUUCUGGAAAAACAACCACUUCAUUUGAUGCAAACAAAAUACUUCUUGUUUAGCAUGAUUGUUUAGUAUGGAGACUGGCUGCAUUGUGCAAGUUGGACAAGCUGGUAGACUAAAUGUCCAAAUAUUUACCCACAGGAUCAGAUUUUUGAUAGUCAAAAAACAGGAGUGAGAUUUGGGACAACUUUUAAAGAUGGUUUUUAAUAGGCAUAUGUGGGGAUCCCAAGGCAAGUGACCCAGGCUGAUUUAAGAGAGCAAAACCACAUAAUAGCAUGAAAUAUAAUAACAGCAUGAAUGCUGUGAUUAUGUCCCGGAAUGAAGUCUAGGAUAAGAUUCAGUGCUACUGCUUGAUUUCUGCCAUGUUGUUCCAAAACAACCUAACAUUAUUUCUGUCUCUCUAUUUUUAGCUGCAAAAGUUGGGGGGGUAUUAAACGUCUCACUGUUGUUGCUGAGUAUAGAGCUAAAUUUUGUCUUGCAGUUAUUGCAUGGAGUGGUUUAUGAAUGCAAAUGGCAUUCCAGCCCAUUACAUUACCUCAACCUACUCCUCUUAGCAUGUUCUGUUUGUUUGUUGGUUUGAAUCAAAAAGAAUCACAAGGCAAAGUGUGUCAGACUGAUUUAAAUUGUACGACCUAGUUCCUGUCUUACGAUUUUUGCAUUAUUUUCUGUCAUUGAUCUGGAUGCU